rnacentral:rRNA from 1 species
UACGGAGGAUCCAAGCGUUAUCCGGAAUCAUUGGGUUUAAAGGGUCCGUAGGCGGUUUUGUAAGUCAGUGGUGAAAUCUGGUCGCUCAACGAUCAAACGGCCAUUGAUACUGCAGAACUUGAAUUACCGGGAAGUAACUAGAAUAUGUAGUGUAGCGGUGAAAUGCUUAGAUAUUACAUGGAAUACCGAUUGCGAAGGCAGGUUACUACCGGUGGAUUGACGCUGAUGGACGAAAGCGUGGGUAGCGAACAGG